rnacentral:lncRNA from 1 species
CAAUGCUGAGAUGUUCUCAGGGGACUUUUCCACACCUGCCCAGUGCUCAGCAAGGUGAUGCUGCUGUGCAGUCGUACACGGGUCCCCAGCUGAGCUCUGGUUCUAUUCCCUUUACAGGUCAUUACUCCCUGCACUUUGACGCCUUCCACCACCCUCUGGGUGAUACCCCCCCGGCCCUUCCCGCCCGGACGCUGCGCAAGGUAAUGUACUGAAGCAACUGUCCCACCGCCUCAUCUGCUGUAGAGUCACCCCUGGGGCCUACAAGAGGAACCUGAACCCUCCUCUGCUCCUCUGCCCUGAGAGCCUGAGCUGGCAGAAGCUGGGGGUGGCCAGAGCCACACUAGAGCUGCGGGUGACCCGUGCAUCCUGCAACAAAUGUGAU